ACUAAAUAGAUACCCGGGUAGUCCACGCCCUAAACGAUGCGAACUGGAUGUUGGGUGCAACUAGGCACUCAGUAUCGAAAGCUAAACGCGUUAAGUUCGCCGCCUGGGGAGUACGGUCGCAAGACUGAAACUCAAAGGAAUUGACGGGGGCCCGGCACAAGCGGUGGAGUAUGUGGUUUAAAUUCGAUGCAACGCGCAGAACCUUACCUGGCCUUGACAUCCACGGAACUUUCCAGAGAUGGAUUGGUGCCUUCGGGUAACCGGUGAGACAGGUGCUGCAUGGCUGUCGUCAGCUCGUGUCGUGAGAUGUUGGGUUAAGUCCCGC
rnacentral:rRNA from 1 species